GACAGAGGGUGCGAGCGUUAAUCGGAGUGACUGGGCGUAAAGGGCGCGUAGGCGGUUGUAAGGGUCUGAUGUGAAAUGUCUGGGCUUAACCUGGGAUGUGCAUUGGAAACUGUAUGACUAGAGUCUAGGAGAGGAGAGUGGAAUUUCCGGUGUAGCGGUGAAAUGCGUAGAUAUCGGAAGGAACAUCAGUGGCGAAAGCGGCUUCCUGGACCAGUACCGACGUUCAGGCACGAAAGCGUGGGGAGCAAACAGG
rnacentral:rRNA from 1 species